GAUGAACGCUAGCUACAGGCUUAACACAUGCAAGUCGAGGGGCAGCAUGGGCUUAGCUUGCUAAGCCCGAUGGCGACCGGCGCACGGGUGAGUAACGCGUAUGCAACUUGCCUCUUAGUGGGGAAUAACCCGGAGAAAUCCGGACUAAUACCGCAUACACUUAGUUAUCCGCAUGGAUGAUUAAGGAAAGAUUUAUUGCUAAGAGAUAGGCAUGCGUUCCAUUAGUUAGUUGGUGAGGUAACGGCUCACCAAGGCAUCGAUGGAUAGGGGAGCUGAGAGGCUUAUCCCCCACAUUGGGACUGAGACACGGCCCAA
rnacentral:rRNA from 1 species